CGGGGGGGGUAAGCGUUGUUCGGAAUUACUGGGCGUAAAGGGCUCGUAGGCGGCCAACUAAGUCAUACGUGAAAUCCCUCAGCUUAACUGGGGAACUGCGUGUGAUACUGGAUGGCUUGGAUUUGGGAGAGGGAUGCGGAAUUCCAGGUGUAGCGGUGAAAUGCGUAGAUAUCUGGAGGAACACCGGUGGCGAAGGCGGCAUCCUGGACCAAUAUUGACGCUGAGGAGCGAAAGCCAGGGGAGCAAACGGGAUUAGAUACCCCGGUAGUCCUGGCCCUAAACGAUGAAUGCUUGGUGUAGCGGGUAUCGAUCCCUGCUGUGCCGAAGCUAACGCAUUAAGCAUUCCGCCUGGGGAGUACGGUCGCAAGGCUG
rnacentral:rRNA from 1 species